GUGGAGUCUGUCCAGCUGAUCUGCAAAACCACAGUUUGUCUGCCUAAAGAUGCUAAAGUGGAGUGGAAGGAUGCAAACAACAGGAAGGUCCACGUGUAUGAGAACGGCUCUGACCAGCCAGAAGAACAACAUGAGGAUUAUAAAGCCCGAACGAAGAUGAAGAGGAAGGUCCUGGAACCUGGAGACCUCAGUCUGACCCUGAAAUACCCCACAGAUGGAGACAACUCCACCUACACCUGCACCGUCUACAGCAGGGAGGGAAACGUCCUGAUGGAGAAACAAGUGGAGCUGAAAGUCAGAGUCCCCCAGGUGGAGGUGGAUUCAGGGGUGGAGUCUGUCCAGCUGCCCUUCAACACCACACUUCACCUGCCUGAAGACGCUAAAGUGGAGUGGAUGGACAAUUACACGAUCCUCAGUAUACCACACAACAGGAAGGUCCACGUGUAUGAGAACGGCUCUGACCAGCCUGAAGAACAGCACCAGGCUUACAGAGACCGAACGAAGAUGAAUGAAGACCUGCUGAAAACUGGAGACCUCAGUCUGACCCUGAAAUACCCCACAGAUGGAGACAACUACACCUACACCUGCACCAUCUACAGCAGGGAGGGAAACAUCCUGCUGAAGAAACAAGUGCUGCUCACUGUCAGAGUCCCCCAGGUGGAGGUGGAUUCGGGGGUGGAGUCUGUCCUACUGCCCCUCAAAACCACACUUCACCUGCCUGAAGAUGCUAAAGUGGAGUGGAAGGAUAACAAUGCAAAGGUCCACGUGUAUGAGAACGGCUCUGACCAGCGUCACAAACAGCACCAGGUUUUCAGAGACCCGAGCGAAGAUGAAUGAAGACCUGCUGAAAACUGGAGACCUCAGUCUGACCCUCAAAUACCCCACAGACUGGGACAACUGGACCUACACCUGCACCGUCUACAGCAGGGAGCGAAACAUCCUGCUGAAGGAACAAGUGGAGCUGAAAGUCAGAGUCUGUCAGGUGGAGGUGGAGGAGGGGGCGGAGUCUGUCCAGCUGCCCUUCAAAACCACACAAAACCUGCCUGAAGAUGCUGGAGUGGAGUGGGUACAUAAAGAACCUGAAUACAGGAAGGUCCACGUGUAUGAGAACGGCUCUGACCAGCCUGAAGAACAGCACCAGGUUUACAGAGACCGAACGAAGAUGAAUGAAGACCUGCUGAAAACUGGAGACCUCAGUCUGACCCUGAAACACCCCACAGAGAGAGACAGUGGGAGAUAUGAAUGUGAUGUGAGGAGGAACGGACGGGUUAGAUUCAAAACAGUGCAGCUCAACGUCAAAGG
ensembl:lncRNA